ACUUCGUUUCCAUUAAAAUCAAGGGCUAAAACACAUCUAGAUCACAUCUGAUGGCAACCGAUAAAAGUUUGAUGCAGGCUUCAAACUCACACCCUACCCCCGCGCCCUCCGCCUCAUCAGCGAGCACGACGCUCACGCGACCACCGUUCGAAACCUGCGAUAAUAAUGGAAUAAACAAAAAAUAUGCCAUGAUCAAGAGGCAGGGAUUAGGACGCGGCGCACGACUCCACGACCAGCGGCGGGCUCAUUCUCCUUGACCGACGGCAGCGCUGCCCAGCACAUCUACCCCUGCUCCCCAUGACCAUGGCGGCAGCGCCCUACCUCAUCCCCUCCCUGUGGUGGCUGCUGCGCCCUUCCCCAUCCCAACGGCCUUGCGUGCGUGGGUGUCGGUGACUGGCACCGCCCUCGGGCUCUAGAUCCGUGCAGGGCGGAUGGCCGGAUGCAGCGGUGGCGGAUUCCCUCGACUGCGUCCGCGUUAAGGGAGGCGCACCUUCCUCUGGAGAUGGAUCCGUGCAGGGCAGACGCGGUCGUGGCAGAUUUGCUCGGCUGUGUCCACGUCGUGGGCGCCACACCUUCCCCUGGAGGUGGGCACGCACGUGAUGUACUGGUGGCGCGACCAGAAUCUCCAAACGGUCAACGUCAUCGACCUCUGCAAGGGCUCCACUUCCUCUCCCCCCUCCGACUACGAGUACUAUGUCCACUGCACCAGCGUGCGGUGCUAGAUUCACAUCCAGCAAGCGGUGCGAGCCCUCGCUGAGAAUCGACCGAGCAAGAUGUGCUUGGCAGCGGUGUGCGGCCCCGUGCGGGUGUGGUGAGUUCACAGAUGCAUCAGGCUUCUCCAAUCCCCAACAAGUAUUGACAUGGAUAAUGAACUGCACAUCAGGCUCCGCUCAGCCAACAUAAGGCUCAGGACAAAAGAAGAAAACAAAUUUGAGUCCAUAACAGGCAUAGAUGGACUGGAGAUAUGAGGCGCACCUGUGGCUGUGGUACAACGGUUGCGAAAGGGAAGGACACACUUGCAAGGGUCGUCAAGUUUAUUAUUUUAAAUAUGAAUACUUUUUAUAGAUUUAAUCUUUCCACAAUGUUGUUAUUUAUUUACUGAAAUUACUUUGCUUUAUAAUUUUUGGAUUUGUUGUCAUGAUUUGCUAGAUUGAAAUCAAUUCUUGAAUCUACAGUCUAUUUAGAUACGCAAUUUCACUAGAUUUAGAUCAAACUACUUAAUUUAGUUUGUUUCUUUUUCCCCAUAUAACACCUUCAGGCUUCAGUAAGUAGCAGAGAUGUCAAGCACUUCCAUUCUAAUAUAUCACUACAUUCUUGUCCACUUGUUCAGAAGAUAAAUAUAGAUCCAGUUAUUAUAAAAAGAUUCAUUUUAUUUGGCUAAAAUCAGCUUGUUCAAGGCUGUUGUGUUGACUCAUUUGUGCUUUAUUGGACCCCUUUUAGGUUCAGAAACAAGUGUGUGAUAACUUUGAUCCUAGCUUUUACCUUGGAUUGAAAAAGUGGUGCGAUGACUAUUUUUAUAUAUCAAGCUUAGUUUGUCCAGUUGUUUGUUUGAUGCUACCGAUUCUUGUGAUUUUUUUUUAUUUUCUAUUUUUUUAGGUCUCACUGAUACAUGGCUAUGAUCUAGAAACACUUCUUCGCUUUGCCACAAGUGUCAUACCAUCUCUUCUAAUCUUGUUGGUUAAAGGGGAUCUUGGUAUAAAUUCCUGACUUUAGUGCAUGGCAAUCAUCACUUCUAACUGCUCAUCAGAGUUGCACCCACUGGGUUGCCUUUCUUUCUGUCUUUUGUCUCCGUAGAAGUGAUCGUUGACGUGGUGGUAGUAGGGAUGAUGGACGUGACAUCAUCAUCACAGCAGUAGCCAUGGACACGGGUGGUGCCGUCGGGCCUCUGCGACUCGUCUCCUGCAAUCUAGCUGAGCCCGCAGUUCAUCGGUUUGCUUAAGGCCUAGGUAGGACAGUAUGCUACCACUAUAUUUCUUGACCAGUUUACAGAUGCACGCAUGCCCUGAGAAUGUAUUGUGCAAUUCUGUUAAAUUACCCCCCUUGCCGCCUUGGUUUGUAGAACAAGGGGUUCAGACUUCUUAGGCGUGAGCGAUAUGAGUAUAUGACUGUCCCAAGUCAUAUGACAUCAUUUGCGAAGGUCCUAAAAUUUGUGGGCGCUAAUGUCACUUGAUUCCAAGAAUGCUCUUAUGCUGAAACAACCAUUUUCUGCUUGUUUUUAUUUCAUUUUCCCCCAUCUGAUCUGACGUUACAUAGGUGUAUCAAUAUUUGGAAUCUCAAUCAAACCUUCCUAUUUUCUGCCUACUAACAUGACCUAUUAGGUUUGUCUCAGAGAAAUAACCUCUGUCAUGUCUUAAAUUAGAUGGCUGUAGCAGGCUAUGGCGGCGUCAGUAUUAGCUCUACAGCUAAGUCUUAGCAUCUCAGUUCGGGCUAUAAGUGAAUGAAGAAUUGUAUAGGUUCAGUUUCUGCUGGCUGCAAGACAGCAACAUUCAGUUUCUGCUGGUUGUUGGCUGCACGACAGAUUUAGUUUUUGCUGGCUGAUGGUUGUACGACAUCAGCAUCCACAAUUCCACGUCAUAUUUAUUAUUGCCUUGCUUGUCAUAUACAUCUAUUACAUAGAAAUUUUGUUCUCAGUUUGGAGUUUGGACUAUAAAAGAUUGAAAAAUUACACAGAUAGAAAAUUGGUUAAGUGGCUUGCUAUCUACAUAUUUAUGCACAUGAUGAUAUGUCGUAGGUUGCUAGCUAUUUUACCUUUUCCUACAUGAUAUAGGGUUUAAAUAAACUUGUCAGAUACUCCUUUUGAACACCUAUUAGUUCUUUUGUUUUGGUGCUCAAUGACCCUGUGUUGGAUGAUUCAUUUACAAGAAUAUGUUCUCAAUAUUUCUCUUGGCUGAUAACAGAGCACAAAAAUAACAGAAUAAUCAGAUGAUUAUAUAUAUAUAUAUAUAUAUAUAUGCAGCUAACAAUACCUGUUUUCAUGCCUGAAUCUUAAAUUGAAGUACUUAUUCUCGUCGAAAUAGUAUAUAAGGCAGCUAGCAUGAAUGCAUCUAUCAGAAUUGAUUUUGUGCAGGAUAAAAUUUUGAAGCUAAUGUUUCUUAAAUACUUAUCCCUAUAGCUUUGUUUUUCAGUGUACGGACAUCCAUAUCGAUGUUGUUCUUUCCACUCUUCUUCUUGCUGUAUUUUUCGGUUUUCCAUAUCUACAUCUUAUAUACUUAUGGCAUCUCAUAUCUGGCUUUCUCUACCUUGGUGCUACUCGUGAAGCAGAUGCUCUACUGGUUCAAGAUAAGUCUACCAGGAACCGGCAAGAAGGUUAACAAAAUGGAAUUUAUGCGGCAGCUGCCAACAAUGCUCUCCAGUAUCAAGAGCAAAACCCUCAACAAGCUGGAAGCACGCCUCCAGGCUCAGGUGGUGCUUCUGAUGGCAUAGUUUCUUUCUAAUCUAUGUUCAGAGAUGUCUGUAAUUAUGCUCAGAGAUGUCCAGAGUCGUCAAAUGUUUAGUGUAGUUUUGACGUGUUCUUGAGACAUGUGCAUUUGUAUGUCUGUGAUGUGAUUCUCUAUUAUUCUAGCUACUCUGAACUCAUCCAUCAUGCCACAAGGACUAACAAUUGCAACCUUGUAAUUUUUUUUAUUACAUAAAAAAAAUUGGUGCUGCACUCAGCUUUCUACCA